rnacentral:rRNA from 1 species
GACGAACCGUGCGAACGUUGUUCGGAAUCACUGGGCUUAAAGGGCGCGUAGGCGGGCUGUCAAGUCUGGGGUGAAAUCCCACGGCUCAACCGUGGAACUGCCUCGGAUACUGACGGCCUCGAGGGAGGUAGGGGCGUGCGGAACUGUGGGUGGAGCGGUGAAAUGCGUUGAUAUCCACAGGAACUCCGGUGGCGAAGGCGGCACGCUGGACCUUUUCUGACGCUGAGGCGCGAAAGCCAGGGGAGCAAACGGG